AAAUGUAGGUGAUGGUUUUGGCGUGCCUGCUUUUGAGGGCAAAGGCAUGACUCCAUUGAGUUGAUAAAAGUAGUUUAUUUUCUUUCUUUUUCUUUAGUUGAACUUAAAAAAGUCGUUGAUCUAUUAUUUUCCCACAUCAUCUCAACCGCUCACCAUAAUGAGAGAAUCUCAAUGUCACACAAACACAUAAUCGAACCUCUAACUUUUGUAUACAUAACAAACUUUAUUAUUCUUUUAUCGAGGGAAUCUCGUUUUCAUCAUCCCUAUGUUCAUAAUAUAUCUCCUCUACCAUAUACAUAUGC